CCUACGGGUGACAGCAGUGAGGAAUAUUGGUCAAUGGUCGGGAGACUGAACCAGCCAAGCCGCGUGAGGGAUGAAGGUACAGAGUAUCGUAAACCUCUUUUGUCAGGGAACAAAGGCGGGGACGCGUCCCCGGAUGAGUGUACCUGAAGACACAGCAUCGGCUAACUCCGUGCCAGCAGCCGCGGUAAUACGGAGGAUGCGAGCGUUAUCGGGAUUUAUGGGGUUUAAAGGGUGCGCAGGCGGUCUGUUCAGUCAGCGGUCAAAGCCCGGGGCUCAACCCCGGCCCGCCGUUGAAACUGGCAGUCUCGAGUUGGAGAGAAGUAUGCGGAAUGCGCGGUGUAGCGGUGAAAUGCAUAGAUAUCGCGCAGAACUCCGAUUGCGAAGGCAGCAUGCCGGCUCCACACUGACGCUGAGGCACGAAAGCGUGGGUAUCGAACAGGAUUAGAUACCCUUGUAGUC
rnacentral:rRNA from 1 species